AAUAGCCUUUCGAAAGGAAGAUUAAUACCGCAUAUGGUAGCUUUAUCGCAUGGUAGUGCUAUUAAAGGAGUAAUCCGCUAUGAGAUGGACCCGCGUCGCAUUAGCUAGUUGGUGAGGUAACGGCUCACCAAGGCGACGAUGCGUAGCCGACCUGAGAGGGUGAUCGGCCACAUUGGGACUGAGACACGGCCCAGACUCCUACGGGAGGCAGCAGUGGGGAAUAUUGCACAAUGGGGGAAACCCUGAUGCAGCAACGCCGCGUGAGUGAUGACGGCCUUCGGGUUGUAAAACUCUGUCUUUGGGGACGAUAAUGACGGUACCCAAGGAGGAAGCCACGGCUAACUACGUG
rnacentral:rRNA from 1 species